AGCGAACGCUGGCGGCAGGCUUAACACAUGCAAGUCGAACGGGCACCUUCGGGUGUCAGUGGCAGACGGGUGAGUAACACGUGGGAACGUGCCCUUUGGUUCGGGACAACUCCGGGAAACUGGAGCUAAUACCGGAUAAGCCCUUCGGGGAAGAUUAUUGCCAAGGAUCGGCCCGCGUCUGAUUAGUCUAGUUGGUUGAGGUAAUAGGCUCACCAAGGCGACGAUCAGUAGCUGGUCUGAGAGGAUGAUCAGCCACACUGGGAUUGAGACAC
rnacentral:rRNA from 1 species